rnacentral:rRNA from 1 species
AUACGGAGGGCGCGAGCGUUGUCCGGAAUCACUGGGCGUAAAGGGCGCGUAGGCGGCCGGAGGAGUCGCUGGUGAAAGCCCGGGGCUCAACCCCGGGUCGGCCAGCGAUACUCGCCGGCUGGAGUGCCGUAGGGGCAGGCGGGAUUCCGGGGGGAGCGGGGGGAGGCGUAGAGAUCCGGAAGAAAACCGGUGGCGAAGGCGGCCUGCUGGGCGGCGACGGACGCUGAGGCGCGACAGCGUGGGGAGCAAACAGGAUUAGAUACCCUGGUAGUCCACGCCGUAAACGAUGGGCACUAGGUGCCUGGGGGAGCGACCCCCCGGGUGCCGGCGCUAACGCAUUAAGUGCCCCGCCUGGGGAGUACGGCCGCAAGGCUGAAACUUAAAGGAAUUGACGGG